UGCCCCCAAACGUUCGGAUUAUAUAGAUCAUAUAUAGAUCUCAUAGCAGAAACAGGUUUUAUCUUUACAAUCAUCUUUUUUUUCUUUUUCAUUUAGUGUCCUGACUUGUAAUCGAGACCCAAAAAGACCAGGGAGACUUUACGAUUGCAUCUUUAACAGGAAAAAAGGCAAAGGAGAGAUAAAAAGAAGGCUGGUUACACCGAUCCCUUGGGAUAAACUUCGUGCCCGAUUCCCUAGCCCAUUGAUCCCACCUCAUGUCCAACAUGGUGCGGAACGUCCGCUAGUGCCUUCUGCCCCCACAAAGGUGUCUCCCGAUAAAAGCUGUUUUGGAGCAGCCGUCUUCAGAGGUAGUGCAAGCCGGUACGAGGAGAACAAAAGAUGCCCACAUGAUUUGCCCUUUGAGCCAAAAUUACCAUCUCAACGGCCUAAGGUCCCGAUGCAAAAGGAUUCCAUCAGUG